rfam:Allokutzneria albata strain DSM 44149 genome assembly, chromosome: I
CGCGGGGUGGAGCAGUUCGGUAGCUCGCUGGGCUCAUAAUCCAGAGGUCGCAGGUUCAAAUCCUGUCCCCGCUA